rnacentral:lncRNA from 1 species
GUUAAAUUUUGGUGGUUAGAGUUGCAAGGCCUUGUUGUUUUGGUUUGGGUGUUCGAUGUGUGAUUGGAUGUUGUUUGCAUCUGGUGUGAAUUUCAUAAGAAGUAUAGUUGCAGAAAACGUCUUGAUGGCAUGCUCUUCCAUUUUUAUUCUUUGAUUGACAUUCAAGUGUUGGUCUCCUACCUGUUGUGUUGCGUUUUGGAGCUUAAUGGAAUGGGUUAAUGAAUUUGAUGAUUUUGGUUUGAGAUGGCCUAAGUUGCCUUGGUUGUACAUGCUGUAAAUUUGUAGAAAUGAGUAAUGAAGAAGAGUUUCUGUGAAGAAAAGGCUUUCUGCGAAGUAUGAAGCAUAA